rnacentral:rRNA from 1 species
UAAGGAAUAUUGGUCAAUGGACGCAAGUCUGAACCAGCCAUGCCGCGUGGAGGAUUAAGGCCCUCUGGGUUGUAAACUCCUUUUAUCUGGGAAGAAAUGUACUUUUUCUUGAGUACUUGACGGUACCAGAGGAAUAAGCACCGGCUAACUCCGUGCCAGCAGCCGCGGUAAUACGGAGGGUGCAAGCGUUAUCCGGAUUCACUGGGUUUAAAGGGUGCGUAGGUGGGUAUGUAAGUCAGUGGUGAAAUCCCCGAGCUUAACUUGGGAACUGCCAUUGAUACUAUAUAUCUUGAAUACCGUAGAGGUAAGCGGAAUAUGUCAUGUAGCGGUGAAAUGCUUAGAUAUGACAUGGAACACCAAUUGCGAAGGCAGCUUACUAUGCGGUGAUUGACACUGAGGCACGAAAGCGUGGGUAGCAAACA